GAUGAAGAAACAAGGCUCAACAAGAUAAACAAAGAUAACUAGUUGGUGGCCAUUGGAUCCCAAACCAAUCUACCCUUAAACAUAAAGCUUGCUUCAAAUGACCAAGAGAAGAAUUCAUAGAACUUGACCCAUUUUCCAGGUGCAGUGGCUCACGCCUGUAAUCCCAGCACUUUGGGAGACUGAGGUGGACAGAUCGCUUGAGGUCAAGAAUUCGAGACCAGCCUGGCCAACAUGAUGAAACCCCGUCUCUACUAAUAAUAUAAGAAUUAGCCAGGCGUGGCGGGGUGCGCCUGUAAUCCCAGCUACUUGGGAGGCUGUGGGAGGUGAAUUGCUUGAACCCAGGAAGCAGAGGUUGCAGUGAGCUGAGAUCAUGCCACUGACUCCAGCCUGGGUGACAGAGUGAGACUCCAUCUCAAAAAAAACAAAAAACAAAAAAAAAUC